CCCGCCCGUCACAUCACGAAAGUGGGUUGUACUAGAAGUCUGCGCGCUAACCCGCAAGGGGGAGGCAGCGGCCCAAGGUAUGACUCAUGAUUGGGGUG
rnacentral:rRNA from 1 species